AUGGACAGUUCUAAAUCUCCCCAACCAUUGAAGAAGAGCCGUACUAGUUUGUCUGGUACGGAUGGCCACCAAUUUGAGAAUGACGAGCUUCAGUCUGAAACUGCAUCAGAUAAAACACCUGGUUUGAAGUUUGAAACAGUAGAUAAAGCGCAAGAUGAAUUUGGAGAAGACAGUUCCCCAUUGCAGCAAUCAGCUGCUUCCAAUGUGGCAUACCGUGGAUCGCCAUGUAUUGGGGCAUUCACUAUCCAAUGUGCUAGGUGCUUCAAAUGGAGACUCAUUCCAACGAAAGAGAAGUAUGAAGAAAUACGCGAGCAUAUUAUACAGGAACCUUUUGACUGCGAAAGAGCCCGUGAAUGGAAACCUGAUGUAACAUGCGAUGAUCAAGAAGAUAUUUCUCAGGAUGGAAGCAGACUCUGGGCUAUCGACAAACCCAAUAUUGCACAGCCUCCUGCUGGAUGGGAAAGGCAGAUUAGAAUAAGAGGUGAAGGAGGCACCAAAUUUGCUGAUGUGUACUACACUUCUCCUACUGCGAGGAAACUGAGGUCACUGGUUGAAGUUGAUCGGUACCUCCAAGAAAAUCCAGAGUAUGGUGCGCAGGGUGUAACAUUAGCUCAGUUUUCCUUCCAGAUUCCUAGACCUCUGCGGCAGAACUAUGUCAAAAAGCGCCCUAAGAACGCAAGUCCAAGUGAUGAAGCAACAACUAAGCCUCUUCAACCAGUGGAAGUUAACCCCAUAUCCUGGGCUGCCCCUCUUGCAAGUGAGGCUAAGGCAAGUGGACCAGCUUCUCAUGCCGACGAAAAGCCAGUUGGAUCAGCAGAUGUGGAGCUGGUCCGGAAGAGGAAAGCAGAAGGCUCUGAGCCAGGAGAGGCAGAUGCUAACAACCAUGUGUCUGAUGCGCCGGAAACCAAGCUAGAGGAUGCUCAGAAUGGAGAUGCUACCACCACUGCCUGA
rnacentral:rRNA from 1 species